rnacentral:SRP_RNA from 1 species
CAUCGGUCCUCUCGCGACGAUAAGCUACGAAUCCCGCCAGGCCCGGAAGGGAGCAACGGUAGUA